UACAGGGAGGGUGCUCAGGCAG
rnacentral:miRNA from 1 species